ACCUGGCUGGUUCAGUUGGUAGAGCGUGUGACUCUUGAUCUUGGGGUUGUGGGUUCAAGUACCACGUUGGGUG
rnacentral:tRNA from 1 species